rnacentral:rRNA from 2 species
UGGGGUAUAUUGGGCAAUGGGGGACACCCUGACCCAGCAACGCCGCGUGAGGGAAGAAGGUUAUCGGAUUGUAAACCUCUGUCCAUGGUGAAGAAAGAGAUGACGGUAGCCAAGGAGGAAGCCCCGGCUAACUACGUGCCAGCAGCCGCGGUAAUACGUAGGGGGCGAGCGUUGUCCGGAAUGAUUGGGCGUACAGGGCGCGUAGGCGGCCUGUUAAGUCUGGAGUGAAAUUCCUGCUUUCAAGGUAGGAAGUGCUUUGGAAACUGGCGGGCUGGAGUGCAGGAGAGGUUAGCGGAAUUCCCGGUGUAGCGGUGAAAUGCGUAGAGAUCGGGAGGAACACCAGUGGCGAAGGCGGCUAACUGGACUGUAACUGACGCUGAAGCGCGAAAGUGUGGGGAGCAAACAGG